GACGAACGCUGGCGGCGUGCCUAAUACAUGCAAGUAGAACGCUGAAGGAGGAGCUUGCUCUUCUGGAAGAGUUGCGAACGGGUGAGUAACGCGUAGGUAACCUGCCUGGUAGCGGGGGAUAACUAUUGGAAACGAUAGCUAAUACCGCAUAAUAUUGAAUAUCGCAUGAUAAUUGAUUAAAAGAUGCAAUUGCAUCACUACCAGAUGGACCUGCGUUGUAUUAGCUAGUAGGUGAGGUAACGGCUCACCUAGGCGACGAUACAUAGCCGACCUGAGAGGGUGAUCGGCCACACUGGGACUGAGACACGGCCCAGACUCCUACGGGAGGCAGCAGUAGGGAAUCUUCGGCAAUGGGGGCAACCCUGACCGAGCAACGCCGCGUGAGUGAAGAAGGUUUUCGGAUCGUAAAGCUCUGUUGUAAGAGAAGAACGAGUGUGAGAGUGGAAAGUUCACACUGGACG
rnacentral:rRNA from 1 species